CAAGGUUUCCGUAGGUAACCUGCGGAAGGAUC
rnacentral:rRNA from 1 species